AGUUUUAAAAGACUGGACUUUUUAUUUUUUUUAGAUAGUGGGUGUAGUGAGUUUAUGUCUAGUUUAGCUUAGGUUUAUGGAACUUUGGGUGGAGGAGUUGAUUAUUUGGUUGAGUGUAACACAUUUUUUUCUUAUAUUGUUGAUAAUUUUAAGACAUGAAAUAAUAGAUUGGUGUACACAGAUAUUGUGCCCUUUAAGUGCGGAAGAAGAUAAAGAAAUGGAUGUAAGUCCCCAACAACCGGUUGUAAGUUUUGAAGUGUAAAACUACAUACGUUAAGGUGGGUGGGGGCCUAGUCCAUAAUCAGUUUUGGAAUUUCUGAAAUC